GAUGAACGCUGGCGGCGUGCCUAAUACAUGCAAGUCGAGCGAACAGACGAGGAGCUUGCUCCUCUGACGUUAGCGGCGGACGGGUGAGUAACACGUGGAUAACUUACCUAUAAGACUGGGAUAACUUCGGGAAACCGGAGCUAAUACCGGAUAAUAUAUUGAACCGCAUGGUUCAAUAGUGAAAGACGGUUUUGCUGUCACUUAUAGAUGGAUCCGCGCCGCAUUAGCUAGUUGGUAAGGUAACGGCUUACCAAGGCAACGAUGCGUAGCCGACCUGAGAGGGUGAUCGGCCACACUGGAACUGAGACACGGCCCAGACUCCUAGGGGAGGCAGGAGUAGGGAAUUUUCCGAAAGGGGGGAAAGCCUGCGGGAGCAACGCCGGGUGAGUGAUGAAGGUCUUGGGAUCGUAAAACUCUGUUAUUGGGGAAGAAAAAAUGUGUAAGUAAUGAUGCACGUCUUGACGGUACCAAAUCAAAAAGCCCCGGCUAACUACGU
rnacentral:rRNA from 1 species